GCGUGCCACCACCCCAUGGAAGAUUCAAUGGACAUGGACAGGAGCCCCCUGAGGACCUGGAACUAUCUUUUCGGUUGUGAACUAAAGGCCGACAAAGAUUAUCACUUUAAGGUGGAUAAUGAUGAAAAUGAGCUCUUUAUCUUUAAGAAUGGUCAGUUUAGGGGCUGGUGCAAAGGAUGAAUUGCACAUUGUUGAAGCAGAGGCAAUGAAUUAUGAAGGCAGUCCAAUUAAAGUAACACUGGCAACUUUGAAAAUGUCUGUACAGCCAACGGUUUCCCUUGGGGGCUUUGAAAUAACACCACCGGUGGUCUUACGGUUGAAGUGUGGUUCAGGGCCUGUGCAUAUUAAUGGGCAGCACUUAGUAGCUGUGGAAGAAGUUGCAGUCAGAAGAUGAAGAGGAGGAGGAUGUGAAACUCUUAAGUAUAUCUGGAAAGCGAUCUGCCCCUGGAGGUGGUAGCAAGUUUCCACAGAAAAAAGUAAAAUUUGCUGCUGAUGAAGAUGAUGAUAAUGAUGAUGAUGAAUUUGAUGAUGAGGAUACUGAAGAAAAAGCUCCAGUGAAGAAAUCUGUACGAGAUACUCCAGCCAAAAAUGCACAGAAAUCAAACCAGAAUGGAAAAGACUCAAAACCAUCAACACCAAGAUCAAAGGGUCAAGAAUCCUUCAAAAAACAGGAGAAAACUCCUAAAACACCAAAAGGACCUAGUUCUGUAGAAGACAUUAAGGCAAAAAUGCAAGCAAGUAUAGAAAAGGGUGGUUCUCUUCCCAAAGUGGAAGCGAAGUUCAUCAAUUACGUGAAGAACUGUUUUGGAUGACUGACCAGGAGGCUAUUCAAGAUCUCUGGCAGUGGAGGAAGUCUUUUUAAGAAAAUAGUCUAAACAAUUUGUUAAAAUUUUCCAU